rnacentral:rRNA from 1 species
GUUAGAGCAGCCGGGAAGUUCAGGAGCCUGCGCUUGAUUGCGCGGCCGAUGAUGCUUUCUGUUAACGACUGUCUCUCUACACACACACUGUGGAGUAAUUUAUUUUUACAACGCUUCUUCUUUGGGCUUUACGGCCCAAGGGUUACAAACACAAACAACUAUUGUAUUUUAAACAUUGUCAAUUAUUUUUCAUUUUAGAAAAAAAAUAUUUAAAACUUUCAACAACGGAUCUCUUGGUUCUCGCAUCGAUGAAGAACGCAGCGAAAUGCGAUAAGUAUUGUGAAUUGCAGAUAUUCGUGAAUCAUCGAAUCUUUGAACGCACAUUGCGCCCUCUGGUAUUCCAGGGGGCAUGCCUGUUUGAGCGUCAUUUCCUUCUCAAACCCUCGGGUUUGGUAGUGAGUGGUACUCUUUCUGGGUUAACUUGAAAAUGCUGGCCAUCUGGCUGUUGCUGACUGAGGUUUUAGUCAAGUCCGCUGAUACUCUGCGUAUUAGGUUUUACCAACUCGUAGUGGCGUUAGUAGGCGUUUUAAAGGCUUUUACUGAAAGUACAGACAGUCUGGCAAACAGUAUUCAUAAAGUUUGACCUCAAAUCAGGUAGGAUU